rnacentral:rRNA from 1 species
GUAAACCUGAGAAACCCGAAAGGUCGAAGGAAGAAAUUCAUCGCGUUAUCGUUGCUGACGUUAAGUGUAUGGUAUGACAGUCAACACGUUUUUUAGCGCGUUUGAUUGCAUCUGUCAUUUUUCGAUUUGGCAACGAACGCGUGCACUUUUCUUCUGGUAGAACGUCGCGAUCCGUUGGGUGUCGGUCUACGAUUUGCAUUGGAGAUCAAAUGAUCCAUGCUUUUUGUGUGGAACCGUUUGAACUUGCAUCUCUUUCCGACCGACUCGCUUGACGGUAUACGAACGGUUUAGGGUCGCUUUAAAGCGUUCGACUCUGGGCAAGCGCGCCAGUUGUUUCGAUGAUUGGACUUUGUACUGAUCCCGUUCACUGGUGACUGUUGGCCUAGAUGUUCUCGAACCGACCCCGAAACAUCGAUUAAAAACCGAUCUGCGGCGCUAUAGCUUUGGGUACUUUCAGGACCCGUCUUGAAACACGGACCAAGGAGUCUAGCAUGUACGCAAGUCAUUGGGACUAGAUAAACCUAAAGGCAAAAUGAAAGUAAAGAUUUUCCUUGCGAGAAUCUAGGGAGGACGAGCGGUUUAUAUUUUUUAAUUGAAAACCACUUUGCACUCCCGGGGCGUCUCAUUCUCAUUGCGAGAAGAGGCGCACCAAGAGCGUACACGCUGGGACCCGAAAGAUGGUGAACUAUGCCUGGUCAGGAUGAAGUCAGGGGAAACCCUGAUGGAGGUCCGUAGCGAUUCUGACGUGCAAAUCGAUCGUCGGAACUGGGUAUAGGGGCGAAAGACUAAUCGAACCAUC